CUACUAUUCAUUAAUUUAAAUUUUUUUUUAUUUAAGUAGUGAGUGUUGUUAUUAUAGACAUUUAUUUUUAGAAACUUAAAAAGCUUGGCGGUACUAUAUAUCCUUUUAGGGGAGCUUGUUUAUUAAUUUGAUAAUCCUCAAUUGAUACUUACUCUUUCUUGAAUUAUUCAGCUUGUGUAUUGCUGUCGGCAGCUUAUUUCGUAAGAUUUUAAAAGCUUAGGAAUAUUUUAUAUUUAUAAGUCAAGUCAGAAUGCAGCUUAUGAAGGAGGUUAAAAUGAGCUACAAUUUAUAAUAUUUAAAUUGAAAUAAGUUAUGUAAAAACUUAUGAAACUGGACUUGAUAGUAAUGUAGUUAAUAGUAUGUCUACAUGAAUUUGGUUUUAUAGUGUGU
rnacentral:rRNA from 1 species